CCUACGGGAGGCAGCAGUGGGGAAUAUUGGGCAAUGGGCGCAAGCCUGACCCAGCAACGCCGCGUGAAGGAAGAAGGCUUUCGGUAUGUAAAGCUCUAUCAGUAGGGAAGAAGAAAGACGGUACCUGACUAAGAAGCCCCGGCUAACUACGUGCCAGCAGCCGCGGUAAUACGUAGGGGGCAAGCGUUAUCCGGAUUUACUGGGUGGAAAGGGAGCGUAGACGGCUGUGCAAGUCUGAAGUGAAAGCCCGUGGCUCAACCGCGGAACUGCUUUGGAAACUGUAUAGCUUGAGUACUGGAGAGGCAGGCGGAAUUCCUAGUGUAGCGGUGAAAUGCGUAGAUAUUAGGAGGAACACCAGUGGCGAAGGCGGCCUGCUGGACAGAAACUGACGUUGAGGCUCGAAAGCGUGGGGAGCAAACAGGAUUAGAUACCCGUGUAGUC
rnacentral:rRNA from 1 species